UGCUUCGCUGACGAGUGGCGGACGGGUGAGUAAUGUCUGGGAAACUGCCUGAUGGAGGGGGAUAACUACUGGAAACGGUGGCUAAUACCGCAUAACGUCGCAAGACCAAAGAGGGGGACCUUCGGGCCUCUUGCCAUCAGAUGUGCCCAGAUGGGAUUAGCUAGUUGGUGAGGUAACGGCUCACCAAGGCGACGAUCCCUAGCUGGUCUGAGAGGAUGACCAGCCACACUGGAACUGAGACACGGUCCAGACUCCUACGGGAGGCAGCAGUGGGGAAUAUUGCACAAUGGGCGCAAGCCUGAUGCAGCCAUGCCGCGUGUAUGAAGAAGGCCUUCGGGUUGUAAAGUACUUUCAGCGGGGAGG
rnacentral:rRNA from 1 species